ensembl:lncRNA
CGUGCACGGCCUCGUGCCCUGGUGUGUGGCCCCCGUGUCCCCUCGUGUGUCCCCUUGUGUGUCCCCGUGCACGGCCUCGUGCCCUUGUGCGUGGCCCCAUGGCCCCUCCGUGUAUCCCCGUGCGUGGCCCUGUGACACCGUGUCCCCGUGCACGGCCUCGUGUCACCGUGCGUGGCCUCGUGUCACCGUGCACGGCCCCAUGCCCUCGUGCGUGGCCCCAUGGCCCCCCCGUGUAUCCCCGUGCGUGGCCCUGUGACACUGUGUCCCCGUGCGUGGCCUCGUGCCCUCGUGCGUGGCCCCCGUGUCCCCUUGUGUGUCCCCGUGCACAGCCUCGUGCCCUUGUGUGUCCCCCCACGUGCACCCUUGUGCAUGUCCCCGUGUCCCCAUGUGUGUCCCCGUGUCCCCUUGCACGGCCUCGUGCCCUCGUGCGUGGUCCCAUGGCCCCCCCGUGUAUCCUCGUGCGUGGCCCUGUGACACCGUGUCCCCUCGUGUGCCCCCGUGCGUGGCCUCGUGCCCUGGUGUGUGGUCCCCGUGGCCCCUCGUGUGUCCCCGUGCACAGCCCCAUGUUACCACAUCACCGUGCACGGCCUCAUGCCCUCGUGCAUGGCCUCAUGCCCCCUCGUGUGUCCCCGUGCACAGCCUCGGGCCCUCGUGCGUGGCCCCCGUGUCCCCUCGUGUGUCCCUGUGCACGGUCUCAUGCCCUCAUGUGUGUCCUCUUGUGUGUCCCUGUGCACAGCCUCGUGCCCUUGUGCAUGUCCCCGUGUCCCCUUGCACGGCCCCAUGCCCUCGUGCGUGGCCCUCGUGCCUGACCUCAUGUCCCCUCGUGUGUCCCCGUGCACGGGCCCGUGUUACCAUGUCACCGUGCACGGCCUCGUGCCGUCGUGCGUGGCCUCAUGUCCCCUCGUGUGUCCCCGUGCACAGCCUUGUGUCCUUGUGUGUGUCCCCACGUGCACCCUUGUGCAUGUCCCCAUGUCCCCAUGUGUGUCCCCGUGUCCCCUCGUGUGUCCCCGUGCGUGGCCUCGUGCUCUGGUGUGUGGCCCCCGUGUCCCCUCGUGUGUCCCCUUGUGUGUCCCCGUGCAUGGCCUCGUGCCCUCGUGCACGGCCUCGUGCCCCCGUGUCCCCGUGCUCGGCCCCGUGCCCUCAUGUGUGGCCCCCGUGGCCCCUCGUGUGUCCCCGUGUACAGUCCCAUGCCCUCGUGCCUGGCCUCGCGUCCCCGUGCACAGCCUCGUGCCCCCUUGUGCAUCCCCAUGCACAGCCUUAUGCCCUUGUGCGUGGCCCCGUGGCCCCUUGUGUGUCCCCGUGCACGGCCUCGUGCCCUCGUGCGUGGCCCCAUGGCCCCCCCGUGUAUCCCCGUGCGUGGCCCUGUGACACCGUGUCCCCUCGUGUGUCCCCGUGCGUGGCCUCGUGCCCUGGUGUGUGGCCCACGUGUCCCCUCGUGUGUCCCUGUGCACAGCCCCGUGCCCUCGUGCGUGGCCCCGUGGCCCCGUGCACAGGCUCGUGCCCUGGUGUGUGUCCCUGUGCCCGGCCGUGCGUCACCGUGUGUGGCCUCGUGUCCCCUUGCACGGCCCCGUGUCCCCCCG